rnacentral:rRNA from 1 species
AGGUGUGGAUAGGGGAGAAAUUCCAAUCGAACCCGGAGAUAGCUGGUUCUCCUCGAAAUAGCUUUAGGGCUAGCCUCAUGGAUCAUUGAUGGGGGUAGAGCACUGAAUGUGCGCGGGGGCCACAAAGCCUACCAAACGCUAUCAAACUACGAAUACCAUACAAUGCAGACCAUGGGAGUCAGUCCGCGAGAGAUAAGUUCCGCGGGCAAAAGGGGAACACCCCAGAUCAACCGCUAAGGUCCCCAAGUUCACGUUAAGUGGAGAAGGAUGUGGAAUUGCACAGACAACCAGGAUGUUGGCUCAGAAGCAGCCACACAUUUAAAGAGUGCGUAAUAGCUCACUGGUCGAGUGAUUGUGCGCCGAAGAUGUCCGGGGCUAAACGUGACACCGAAGCGAUGGGUGCAUCUGAAAGGAUGCGCGGUAGAGGAGCAAUGUGCAGAGGCAGAAGCCGUAUCGAGAGGCACGGUGGACACUGCACAAGAGAGAAUGCCGGUAUGAGUAGCGAGAGGCAUGCGAGAAACAUGCCCGUCGAAAGCCCAAGGUUUCCUGGGGAAGGUUCAUCCGCCCAGGGUAAGUCGGGGCCUAAGCCGAGGACGGAAGUCGUAGGCGAUGGACAGCAGGUGUAGAUUCCUGCACUACCGAUGGAAUGAAGCAGUGACACAGAAGGAUAACUCGAGCAGGGUGAUGGUCAACCCUGUGCAAGCAUCAAGGUUGGGUUGUAGUGAAGUACGCAAUCCUAUAAGCUGAGGUGUGAUGCGGACCGAAAUUUCAGUAGGGAAGCGAGUGAGUUCACGCUGGCGAGAAAAGCUGCUAGUACAUCCAAAGGUACCCGUACCGGAAACCGACGCAGGUGGGCGAGGAGAGAAUCCUGAGACGAACGGGAGAACCCUUGUUAAGGAACUCGGCAAAAUGACCCCGUAACUUCGGGAUAAGGGGUGCCUGCGAGAGCAGGCCGCAGAGAAUAGUCACAAGCGACUGUUUAGCAAAAACACAGGUAUCUGCGAAAGCGAGAGCUGACGUAUAGGUGCUGACACCUGCCCGGUGCUGGAAGGUUAAGGGAACAUGUUAGAGCAAUCGAAGCAUCGAACCGAAGCCCCAGUAAACGGCGGCCGUAACUAUAACGGUCCUAAGGUAGCGAAAUUCCUUGUCGGGUAAGUUCCGACCCGCACGAAUGGUGUAACGACUUGUGAGCUGUCUCAACAGGGGGCCCGGUGAAAUUGAAGUAUGGGUGAAGAUGCCCAUUACCCGCGACUGGACGGAAAGACCCCGUAGAGCUUUACUGCAGCCUGAUAUUGAGUUUCGGUAACUGAUGCACAGGAUAGGUGGGAGUCUGAGAGACACGGGUUUCGGCUCGUGAGGAGACGCUGUUGGGAUACCACUCUUCGGUUACUGAAAUUCUAACAUAGCUCUGUGAAACCAGAG